rfam:Acidipropionibacterium acidipropionici ATCC 4875 chromosome, complete genome.
GGGCGCGCGCGGGGCGUGGCUUCGUCCCGACAACGGCUCCCUGACACAACUUCCCCUGUGCCAGGUCGUCGCAGUCGGGCCGGAACCUCGCCCCACGAGAACAUGUCA